CCUACGGGAGACAGCAGUGAGGAAUAUUGGUCAAUGGGCUUACGCCUGAACCAGCCAAGUCGCGUGAGGGAAGACUGCCCUAUGGGUUGUAAACCUCUUUUGUCAGGGAGCAACGCCGGCUACGUGUAGCCGGACUGAGAGUACCUGAAGACAAAGCACCGGCUAACUCCGUGCCAGCAGCCGCGGUAAUACGGAGGAUGCGAGCGUUAUCCUGAUUUAUUGGGAUUAAAGGGUGCGUAGGCGGAAUGCCAAGUCAGCGGUAAAAUCGCGGGGCUCAACCUCGCUCCGCCGUUGAAACUGGCGUUCUUGAGUGAGCGAGAAGUAUGCGGAAUGCGUGGUGUAGCAGUGAAAUGCAUAGAUAUCGAGCAGAACUCUGAUUGCGAAGGCAGCAUCCCGGCGCCCAACUGACGCUGAAGCACGAAAGCGUGGGUAUCGAACGGGAUUAGAUACCCGUGUAGUC
rnacentral:rRNA from 1 species